rnacentral:tRNA from 2 species
GUUUCCGUAGUUGAGAUUUACAACGGUGGCUUUUCAGGCCGCAAGUCUUGGAGAAAAGCCGAGCGGGAAUU